UACGUAGGGUGCGAGCGUUAAUCGGAAUUACUGGGCGUAAAGCGUGCGCAGGCGGUUAUUUAAGUCAGGUGUGAAAGCCCUGGGCUUAACCUAGGAAUUGCGCUUGAGACUGGAUAGCUUGGAGUGCGGCAGAGGGAGGUGGAAUUCCACGUGUAGCAGUGAAAUGCGUAGAGAUGUGGAGGAACACCGAUGGCGAAGGCAGCCCCCUGGGACCUGACUGACGCUCAUGUACGAAAGCGUGGGGAGCAAACAGG
rnacentral:rRNA from 1 species